rnacentral:rRNA from 1 species
GAGCACGUAGGUGGGUUUGUAAGUCAGAGGUGAAAGCCUGGAGCUCAACUCCAGAACUGCCUUUGAGACUGCAUCGCUUGAAUCCAGGAGAGGUGAGUGGAAUUCCGAGUGUAGAGGUGAAAUUCGUAGAUAUUCGGAAGAACACCAGUGGCGAAGGCGGCUCACUGGACUGGUAUUGACGCUGAGGUGCGAAAGCGUGGGGAGCAAACAGGAUUAGACACCCUGGUAGUCCACGCCGUAAACGAUGAUAACUAGCUGUCCGGGCACUAAGUAGAGGGG